rnacentral:rRNA from 1 species
GACGAACGCUGGCGGCGUGCUUAACACAUGCAAGUCGAACGGAGAGGCCCUGCGGUUGUGGGGUGCUCGGGAGGGGAACGUAUCAGUUACACAUGCGUACCCUGCCCUUGACUUUGGUAUAACUUCUGGAGACUAAGACUGAUAGCGGAUCGGAUCUCCUGCUGCUGGGGGUGGGUUGGAAAUCUUCGGCGGGUGGGGAUGGCGUCGCGGCUUAUCAGCUUGUUGGUGGGGUAGUGGCUUACCAAGGCCUUGACGGGUAGCCGGCCUGAGAGGGUGACCGGCCACACUGGGACUGAGACACGGCCCAGACUCCUACGGGAGGCAGCAGUGGGGAAUAUUGCACAAUGGGCGGAAGCCUGACGCAGCGACGCCGCGUGGGGGAUGACGGCCUUCGGGUUGUAAACCGCUUUCGGCUGUGACGAAGCGCGAGUGACGGUAACGGGUGAAGAAGCACCGGCUAACUACGUG